UCCCUUUAGAUAAUACUUUCCUACUAGGACAACUGAGGAAAAUCUUGAGCUAAUACUUGCUAAAAUCCCCGACUUUUCGGAAGGGGUGUAUUUAUUAGAUACAAAAACCAAUGAGGGGGGUUAACGCCCUCCGGUCUCUGGAUGAUUCAUAAUAACUUCUCGAAUCGCAUGGCCUUGCGCUGGCGAUGAUUCAUUCGAACUUGAGCCCUAUCAACUUUCGACGGGUGUGUAGUGGACAUCCGUGGUUUUUACGGGUACGGGGAAUUGGGGUUCGAUUCCGGAGAGUGAGCCUGAGAAACGGCCCACACUUCCAAGGAAGGCAGCAGGCGCGCAAAUUGCCCUAAUCCCAAUUCGGGGAGGCAGUGACAAUAAAUAACUAAGAAUUUCCCUACGGGAAAUUCUAUAGGAAUGAGUUAAAUGUAAAUACCUAAACGAGGAGCAACUGGAGGGCAAGUCUGGU
rnacentral:rRNA from 1 species